rnacentral:lncRNA from 1 species
AGGGCCUAAUAUUUAAAUAUGUGAAAAGCAGGCACAGCUGGAAGGCAGAGCAUCUAGAUCUCCAGAAAUCAAGGAUUCCACAUUUACUUUGAAUCCCUGGUUUCUUCCAAAAGGGAAAUGCCACAAGACUAGGCCGUGCAACAUUUCCGCAGUGCUCCUCGCUACAAAGACAUUCCCCUAAGGCUGGUGGGCAACUCAACACUCAGCUCAGUACGUGGUCAGCUCGUCCUCCAUAGGAGCCUUAUGCCUUGGUGAGUCUUGCUCUGUCACCCAGGCUGGAGUGCAGUGGUGUGAUCUCAGCUCACCACAACCUUCACAUCCUGGGUUCAAGCGAUUCUUGUGCCUCAGCCUCCCAAGCAGCUGGGACCACAGAGGAGAUCUCUGAAGAAAUUGCUGAUGAAAGUCCAACAGGCUCUUCCAGUUUGUCUGGUCGGUCACAUUUGCUGAAACCUGGAGGAAUUGUUAGUGGAAGCUCAACAGGCCUGACUCAGUCUGACUGUCCAUUCUUCUGGAAGCUGCAGAGAAAAGAAACCUGGAAACCUUAUAUGCUGACAAAAAGGGACACAAUUGGAUAUGAUGGUUAUUUUACCAAGGUUUUGAAAUGUCGUGCUUUCAAAUAUAAACAGACUGCUUUAAGGAAUCGAAGUUGACUUAUAGAGCCAAUAAAAGCCCUGCAGGAAAGCUGGCCUCAUACUUUGUCUACACAGUCUCUGUACAGGUUUCCUGACCUGUGGACUCAUUUACCUUAUAGUAUGCUACUCACUAAAACUGUAGAUGAGAAUACUGAAGCCUUGUCAG